UUUCAAGUUGAGGGACUUUCUGCCACUUCUUCUUACCAUAUUUACUCAAUUGCCUGAAUAAACUAGAGAUAAAUAUUCUUAGCUGUUAUAUCAGUUAGCAAGCGUUAGUACAAGUGUCUGAAAAUGGGUAACUAGUAUUUAUGGUAUAUCUGCUUAUUAUACAUAAAGAGAAACAGAAAAUGUACAUUCUUGUGAAUUAGUAUAUCUUCUGAAGGAACCAACCAUCUUCUAUAAUUGCUAUAAUUUAUAUCAUACUUUUAAUUAUGCCUGGGUUGGGCUUAUAAUUUGUAUCAUAUUUUGCUACAUAUAGCAGAACUAGAUAUGGGAAA
rnacentral:misc_RNA from 1 species